rnacentral:lncRNA from 1 species
GUCUCACAUCCCGGUUGCAGAAGCACUAAGAAGAAUUAGGACUAGUAUCGAAUUGGGGCAUCACCCGCAGCAACAGGAUGCUGGUGGAGUUAAUUUGAAUUUUGUGAGAAGCUCUCAUGUGUUGCAAACUGCUGAUACCUUAAGCAGCCGGAGACUACGUUCCCGUCUUAUCUCGAGGGUGUUGUCAGAAGGCGCUGCUUCUCUUUCAUCAGAGUUAGAACAGAUGGAAAUGUUACUCCGGUUUAUGGUAAUGGAGAUGGUGAAAGCAUCACGGAACUGGAGUCUGGUUUGAAAAUACCGCCAAGGCCAAAGGCACGUCGAGUAGAGAGUGUUAGACAGCAGCGUGUGACUCGAGGUUUGUCUCACAUCCCGGUUGCAGAAGCACUAAGAAGAAUUAGGACUAGUAUUGGAUUGGGGAAUCACGCGCAGCGACAGGAUGCUGGUGGAGUUAAUUUGAAUUUUGUGAGAAGCUCUCAUGUGUUGCAAACUGCUGAUACCUUAAGCAGCCGGAGACUACGUUCCCGUCUUAUCUCGAGGGUGUUGUCAGAAGGCGCUGCUUCUCUUUCAUCAGAGUUAGAUAAUGCACAACGGAUGUUUGAAGACCUUGCAGCAUCACUCUCUGAUCGGCUUCUCCAA